rnacentral:sRNA from 1 species
GAUGUUGAAUUUGGAAAUUGGAGGGGACGCUGGUGGACGGAUUGGGUGCAAGGAGUUGGUGUUGAUGGAGGAGCAGGACGCCAGAGUCCCAGCCCUGGAACCGUUCAGAGUGGAGCAGGCACCACCUGUAAUCUACUAUGUCCCUGACUUCAUCUCCAAAGAAGAGGAGGAGUAUUUGCUUCGACAGGUUUUUAAUGCCCCAAAGCCAAAGUGGACCCAGCUCUCUGGGAGAAAGUUACAGAACUGGGGUGGGCUUCCUCAUCCCCGAGGGAUGGUUCCUGAGCGGCUGCCCCCAUGGCUGCAGCGCUACGUGGACAAAGUGUCAAACCUCAGCCUCUUUGGAGGUCUCCCAGCUAACCAUGUCCUCGUGAACCAGUAUCUGCCUGGGGAGGGCAUCAUGGUAACCACACACCCUUGGCCUGUGUCCCCCCACUCAGACUUCUGAGCUGUGCUGGGGCAGGGGACUCUGUACCCACCCUCACUCAUUAGGCAGCCACAUCUCCCAAACAGGCAUUCACCUCCCUGUCCCUGGCUUGGGAAGCCCCCCUUUGACCCA